AUUGAACGCUGGCGGCAUGCUUUACACAUGCAAGUCGAACGGUAACAGGCCGCAAGGUGCUGACGAGUGGCGAACGGGUGAGUAAUGCAUCGGAACGUGCCCAGUCGUGGGGGAUAACGCAGCGAAAGCUGCGCUAAUACCGCAUACGAUCUAUGGAUGAAAGCGGGGGACCGUAAGGCCUCGCGCGAUUGGAGCGGCCGAUGUCAGAUUAGGUAGUUGGUGGGGUAAAGGCUCACCAAGCCAACGAUCUGUAGCUGGUCUGAGAGGACGACCAGCCACACUGGGACGGAGACACGGCCCAGACUCCUACGGGAGGCAGCAGUGGGGAAUUUUGGACAAUGGGCGCAAGCCUGAUCCAGCAAUGCCGCGUGCAGGAAGAAGGCCUUCGGGUUGUAAACUGCUUUUGUACGGAACGAAACGGUCCGGGUUAAUACCCUGGGCUAAUGACGGUACCGUAAGAAUAAGCACCGGCUAACUACGUGCCAGCCGCCGCAGUAAUAC
rnacentral:rRNA from 1 species